rnacentral:lncRNA from 10 species
CAAGGAGCCAUGCCCCAGAGAUUUACAGACGCCAGAUUUGUUUUCCAGAAGCAAUCCUAGGCGAUCUGGUACACAUGACUAAAUCUCUCCUUACAGGAUUCUUCCCCUAUCAAUUUCAUCACUUUACUUUGCAGGAGAACCAUCAUUACAAGGAGAUUAGAGAAGGUCACUGAUUUUUUUUUUUCCCUCAGGCGGGCACGGGGAUUCUCUGCCUUCUUAAAGGGGAGCGUGUGCUGUAGACCUGCUGCUUAAUCGUGUCCUUCCCGGAGAUAAAGCAGUUGCUCACCUGAAAAGCCUUGGAAGAUAAAAAAACCAAGGCACAGAACAAGUUAGUGGCAGAACAGAGAUUCCAAUGAAGACCUCUUUGACUCUGAUCCUGUGUUCUCACUGCCUCUUGUACUGCCUCUCCGAAACUCAGGAUAUGUUGUCCACUCCAGAAGUAUGAGGUGGGACUGCAGGAAUAUGAGCUCCUCUCCACAUGCAGGGACCCCAGGUGCUUAUCCAGCCUGUUCGAGAUCAUAGCCACCAAGGGGGAACUCUCUGGACAACCUGGCAGAAGUUCCCCUCACUCAGCUGAAACCUGCCUCCACCUGAGGCCACAGAGCAAGUCUCCCUGGGCUUCUGGGUCUUCAGACAUUUGGAGACAGUUAUUAUCUCUCCCUGCCCUCAGAUUUACCAUGUCCAGGCUAAAUGGAUGAUUUCUCACUUAUAAAUGUAAGGCAUUUAAUAAUUACAUUUCUUGAUAAUAAAAUAAGGAAAAAUUUAGGGUUUUUAAACAAAAAAUUGCAUUGGUAUAUGUCUGCUGUUACCCACAGGAGGCCCUUGUUUGCAAAGCUAGAUAUUGCUGGACCCACCUAUUGGUAGACAUCUGAAAAAUUUCUGCAAAUGUGAAAUAAAUAUUAAGGUCCAGAGAGAAUAACUGUAUUUUGUAAUAUCUGUAAUAUAGCUGUGUAUUUUAUCAUAUCUGCCUUUAUAUAAUAUAAUGAUAAAUAUAAAUAUCAUUGCAGCAAUAGUUAUAGUAGAAAAAAAUCUGGAGUCCACCUAAGUGUCUAUUAAUAAUGAGAUAGUUAAAUAAAUUAUGGUGUCUACUCAGCCAUUAACAGUUGAUGUUUGGAUUCAGGUGCAGUGGUGCCUGCCUGUAGUACUGGCUACUCAGGAGGCUGAGGUGGGAGGAUCACUUGAACCCAAGAAUUUAAGGUCAACUUAGGUAAUGUAGCAAGAACACCCUCUCAAAAAGGAGUCGAUGCUUAUAAAGUUAUAUAAUAAUAUAGAAAAUGCCUACAAUAUAAUGGAAUUAUGUGGGAAAAUCAAUAUACUCAUUUAAAGGUACCAUAUGAUAUGGUUUGGCUCUGUGUCCCCACCCAAAUUUCAUGUUGAAUUGUAAUUACCAGUGGGAGGUGGGAGGUGAUUGAAUCAUAGGGGUGAAUUUCCCCCUUGACUUUCUUGCGAUAGAGUUCUCACAAGAUCUGGUUGUUUGAAAGUAUGUAGCACCCCACCCCUUCUCUCUCUCUCUCCUGCUGGCCAUAUGAAGAUGUGCUUACUUCCUUUUCACCUUCUACCAUGAUUGUAAGUUUCCUGAGGCUUCCCCAGAAACAGAAGCCUGUACAGACCACAGAACCAUGAGCUGAUUAAACCUCUUUUCUUUACACAUUACCCAGUCUCAGGUAUGUCUUUACAGCAGUUUAAGAAUGGACUAAUACACCAUAUGGUUGCUAUGUAAACAGCCAUGUUUUACAACAGUCUUAAAGUAAAUGCAAUAUGUUAAGUAAAAUAAGCCUGAUAUAGAAAGACAAAUAUCUCAUUCUCUCACUCAUAUAUAGGAGCUAAAAAAAAAAUUGAACUCAUGGAGAUAGAAAGCAGAAUGAUGAUUACCAGACACUGGGAAGGGUAGUAGGGAGAGAGGAUAAAGAGGAGUUGGUUAAUGGGCACAAAAAUACAGUUAGAUUAAAAAAAAAAAAAUAAGAUCUAGUGCUCAGUAACCCAAUAGGGCAACUAUAGUUUACAAUAGCUUAUUGUAUAUUUCAAAAUAACUAAAAAGUAGAAUUAGAAUAUUCCUAACACAAAGAAAUGUUAAAUGCUUUAGGUGAUGGAUAUCCCAAUUACCCUGUUUGAUCAUUACAUAUUGACACACUGGUACCAAAUAUCACAUGUACCCCAUAAAUAUUUACAACUAUUAUGUAUCCAUAAAAAUUAAAAAUAAAAAAAUUUAAAAAUAAAAGUACAAAAUGCUAUCAUUGGUGGUUUUACAGUAGUGAAGUUAUAGAUGACUUUUUCUUCUAUUUUGUUUUCCAAAAAG